CUUCAUCCUGCAGGCACCAUGAAGUCAAUGUGGACCCUUCUCUGCCUGAUGGCAGCUCCUCUGGGUGUCCUGUCUGAUCCGACACUUCGGGAGUCAGGACCUAGCCUUGUGAAGCCAUCGCAGACCCUGCCCCUCACCUGCACAGUCACCGGGGGCUCUGUCACUAGUAGUUACUACUGGAGUUGGAUCCGGCAGCCUCCUGGGAAAGCUCUACAGUGGAUGGGGUGGUGGUCGGGGAGCACAAACUACAACCCAGCUUUCGAGGGCCGCAUCUCCAUCACUGCUGACACAGCAAAGAACCAGUUCUUCCUGCAGCUGAACUCCGUGACCACAGAGGACACGGCCGUGUAUUACUGUGCAAGACACAGUGAGAAGAUAUCAGUGUGA